AUUGGUCCCGGGCGGAAAUGGGAGGGGAGCGACCGAGGUGAUAUAAAGGGCGGCGCGGGGCGGGCCGCUGCGGGGUGGUGGCGGCGGGCAAGGUGGAGAGCAAACCAACUGCCUUACGACAGUCAUCUUCAGUUUGGUAGUGGUUUGUGACCCAAGAAAGGAUUUUCCCACUGACUGAGCUGAAGUAAGAGAGAGGAGCCUGUCCUGAAGCUUAUGGUAAGUGAAAAAACCUCCAGGUGAUCUCCGUGAAAAAGACAGCAGGUUUAGCAGCCAAGGAUGAUGAUGCAAUUAACUGAUACUGGGUAAAGAGGACUAGCAAAAUAGUUCCAGUUCUCUGCUCUGAAAUGAAAUGUCAUACUGCAAUAUGGCAACUGGGUAAAGGAUCACAUUCAAUGUCUAAUGACCUAUGUCUUGCUUGUCAAUAAAGUACUUGAGCAAGUAGUAGCUCUGCUUCCUUUGUUGAUUGCAGCUGCUGUGUAGUGCUCACAUUGUUGUAGUGAUAGCCCAACCUUUCAAAUUCCCAUCAUUCCUGUUUUUCUGCUUAGGAUUUUUCAGCCCCUUGUCCAAAUGACUUUUGUAAUGAUUUGGUUGUUUAGUUGGUGAAUUUUUGUGGCUGAUUUUAUCAAGUUUUUAGAUGCAUUUUUUAUAUUCUACACCAAGCUGCUGUUAGUAGCCCUUUGUGUAGCAAAGCCUCUAUAUUCUGGGCUGAAAAACUAUUAUAUUUAGCAGUACCUUCUUCUGCAGCACAGUUUUCACCUGGCUCACUAAUAAACCUCUGAAAGCCUACACUGUCAAAAACACUUACAGACUUUGAGUUCCAAGGAGGGAACAUGCCAGCUCUCAUUCUCAGAAGGGUCAAACUCAAAGUACAUCCAGACUUUCAUAGUCACCUUCAGUCACCCCUAUACAUAGGGUCUGAAUGCAUUUUCAACAUGAGAUUGUCACCUGCAGGAGGUACUGUUCCUGCCCAUGGCUCAGCAGAGGGGAAGGAAAAAAUGCUACCUGCAGUUUAACAGUUCUGUGAAUGAAAAAACUUACUUUUAAUGCACAUCUUGCAACCUGGUAGGACUCAAGGAGAGACUGGCACGGCUAAGAUUGCAAUUCCUCCAGCAACUCACAUCUUUCUCAUGAAGUCUUGUCUGAGGAAUACUGGGGCAUGUGUCAGCAGAGAAGCUGUGGUGUUGCACUUUAACAGGGGGGUAUGUCAUUUGUGCCUCAUAUGUCUGAAAAUGGAAAGGGGUUAGGGAACUGAGUAUUGCCAGUCACAAAGUUCAAAAAAACUGCUAGGGCUGAAAAUGCUGUUUUACAAAGAUGUGGGGUCAGGGAGUGCAAGUCUUUCUUCUAUUUUUUGUGUUCCGGUUGAUUUGGGCCAUCUUUUUAAAUUAUUUCAACAACCAUAAGGGCCAGAAACUUACUGUUUUGUAACAUCUUUUAUGUCUCUCUCUUUUUUUUUUUAGUUUGUAUUUUGAUUCUUGAAACUCUUCAUAAAGCUUGAAUUUCAUAUAGAAUAGCCCUAUUUCUUCUUUAAAUUUGAUGAUAUGCUCUCAUUUUCAUGUAUGUAUUAGCCAAGUGUAAUAUUUCUUUUAAAGCUUUUAAUAUUUUCAGGCUUCCUUCCAUUUAAAAUUAUAAUUCUCUGCUAUGUCAAUUAAAUACUACACCAAUUUUCUUGAAGUUGAGUAAUUUUUGCCUUCAGUUCUACCUCUGAAUUUCAUCAGCACCAGUUAGGGCUGUCCAUCAGCAGCACAUUACUUAAACCUGUACAAAAAAUAUCCAGCUUUUUAUCAUUAAUCUGGUAUUUCUAGAAUAUAUUUCUACAUUUCAAUUCUUCUCUUUUCACUACAAUUUGUUUUACUCAUCACUAAUGUGGUUGCAGCUCAACUCAGCUCAGUUUGCUUCGCUGGGACUACAUUCAAUCAGGAAAAAAAUUCAGGCUUGUCUCCAAUUUCUUUAUCUGGAGGAGAAAGAGCUGGUAUCAGCAUGUUCAUACCCUGAUUAACAGUUUUAAGAACAGACAAAGUAUAAACACUUGAAAUAAAUUAAUUUAUUUGCUAAGGAAAUUACCAAUCUCAUCUGCAUCUAUUUCUGAAACAGAAGAUUUGUUUGAAGUUCUUCCUUUUGGAUCUUAGCUUCCAGACAUUGUCUUCACAAAUCCCAGGUUGGAACAUCAUAAUCUCCCCUCAAGGUUCUGUUUACAUCUGAGGCUCCCCUGUAGACAGCAUUAGGUACAAAUACAUUAGAACUUAAACACUAAGUUGUUCUCUGACACUGAUGUGUGGACAUAGUAUUUAUCUUUAGAUGGAUAGAGAGGCCUGAAAUAUGUGACACUUAAUUCCUCUCUUUCACCUUGGUAAGGAUAAAAUAAAGGGUGCUAUUAAUUAUUUUCCUUAUUUCAUAAAUAUGAUCUGGUCUCCACAAGCAUGUAAAAAGAGCUUCAUCUAAAAUUUUUCUAGGUAGCACUGGUCAAUUAGAUUGGAAGCAGAAAUCAGUGUAAAUCAAAUCAUAAUUUAACCUGAUACAGUGACUAAAGUAAUUCAGAGGCAAGAACAAAUAAGGGUGCAGGCAGAGAAAAUGUCUAGAACAUUAUAGGCAAGAUACAGAAUUUGGAGGAGGUGCAUGUCAUGAAAGAUUGUUUCAACUUGGGCUUUGCAUAAAAGAAGAAAAGCUAGAAGAGAAAACUAAAAUCCUGACAGAAAUGCAAAAUUUUGAAGAGAAGGCAAAGAACAAUACAUUAACCAUAAAACAGAGAUAAAAUGUAUGGAAAUAAUUGAAGCAGCAGACUCAUGAUUCCUGAUGCAUCAAAAUAGAUACAGACUUAAGUCUGUAUUCCAACAGAAGCUAAAGCCAUGAUUAAAAUUUUGCCUGUGUUUAUGUGCUUAAUUAAUCCUAUAAGUAAUCAUAGUCUCCUCCUUCAGCUUUCACUGAGCCGUAGGAUUCACUGCACCCUGGGAAUUUAGAUUGCUCAAUACUUCGAAAUACUGCCUUUAUUUAAGUCUACCAAGCCCACAGUUACAAGAUACAAUUCGUCUUUAAUGUUUUUCUAACAGUUUUUACUUGAAGGAUCUUAGUAGUACUGGGCAUUGAUCCAAUAAACAUGAACUUGUUCAAAGGCAGAAGACAGUAUAUGAGAUCCUCCCUAAUAUUUUCCUUCUUUAUUUUACCCUGUUUAAAUAAGCAAAAAAUAGCUUAAUUUUUUCCCCAGCAUCCAUGAAUUGUUUCACAUAUACGAUGCAGUCAAACUGUAAAAGAAAAUUGCUCUUGGAAUUUAUGCUACCAUUUCCCCCUGAUAAUGACUUUAAAAAGUAAAAUUAACAGAUUUUCUUACCAAAAUAACCCAGAAAUAAAUGUUAAAUGUUUAUUCUCUUUUAAAAACAGAAACCACUUAGCAACCAAAUAACUCUGGAGUGUCAAAUAAAUGUGCUUUAUUUACAGUCAUGAGGCUUGUAUCUGAAGUGAAUUAAAAAUUUAUCUUAGGUCAGUACAUCAUGGUGGUUUUGUAAAUGUGUUUCUGAGGACAAGACUAACUACACCCAUUGAUGUGAAUAAUAUACAAUCAAUACCCAUUUUCCUUUCUAAAAUAAUGAAUUAAAAUCCAUCUGCAACUAGGACUUUGUUGUUAUUCUUAAAAAAGAAAAUCAGCAUAGUAGGCAAUUAAAACUGGAACAAAGAAAAAAAUGAAAACAAAGAGAGGAGGAGUAGAAGGAUUUUUACUGAAAGCUAUUACAAAAACCAGAAUUCCCAAAUGAGAUGAAAAAGA